UACGUAGGGUGCAAGCGUUAAUCGGAAUUACUGGGCGUAAAGCGUGCGCAGGCGGUUUCGUAAGUCUGUCGUGAAAUCCCCGGGCUUAACCUGGGAAUGGCAUUGGUGACUGUACGGCUAGAGUGUGUCAGAGGGGGGUAGAAUUCCACGUGUAGCAGUGAAAUGCGUAGAGAUGUGGAGGAAUACCGAUGGCGAAGGCAGCCCCCUGGGAUGACAACUGACGCUCGAUGCACGAAAGCGUGGGGAGCAAACAGG
rnacentral:rRNA from 1 species